rnacentral:lncRNA from 1 species
AUUUAUUUCAAAUCGUAGUCAUAAUAUUUGGCUGUUGUAAAUAGACACUGAUUUUGUGUGUUUGCUUUUUUUAAGGACUAAUGUUGCUGGACAGGCAGGUAUUAGAGACAGGGUGGAUCUGCUGGACAGGCAGGUAGUAUAGACAGGGUGGAUCUGCUGGCCAGCCAGGUAGUAUAGAUAGCGUGGAUCUACUGGCCAGGCAGGUAGUGUAGACAGGGUGGAUCUGCUGGGCAGGCAGGUAGUGUAGACAGGGUGGACCUGCUGGACAAGCAGGCAGUGUAGACAGAGUGGAUCUGCCGGCCAGGCAGGUAGUGUAGAUAGCAUGGAUCUACUGGCCAGGCAGGUAGUGUAGACAGGGUGGAUCUGUUGGGUAGGCAGGUAGUGUAGACAGGAUGGAUCUGCUGGACAGGCAGGUAGUAUAGACAGAGUGGAUCUGCUGGACAGGCCGGUAGUAUAGACAGGGCGGAUGUGCUGGCCAGGCAGGUAGUAUAGAAAGGGCGGGUCUGCUGGACAGGCAGGUAGUGUAGACAGGGUGGAUCUGCUGGGCAGGCAGGUAGUGUAGACAAGGUGGACCUGCAGGAUAGGCAGGUAGUAUAGACAGGGUGCAUCUGCUCGACAGUUAGGUAGUAUAGACAGGGUGGAUCUGCUGGACAGGCAGGUAGUGUAGAUAGUGUGGAUCUACUGGCCAGGUAGGUAGUGUAGACAGGGUGGACCUGCUUGACAGGCAGGUAGUAUAGACAGAGUGGAUCUGCUGGCCAUACAGGUAGAGUAGAUAGCGUGAAUCUACUGGCCAGGCAGGUAGUAUGGACAGGGUGGAUCUGCUGGGCAGGCAGGUAGUGUAGACAGGGUGGAUCUGCUGGCCAGGCAGGUAGUACAGACAGGGCGGAUCUGCUGGGCAGGCAGGUAGUGUAGAUAGGGUGGACCUGCUGGGCAAGCAGGUAGUGUAGACAGGGUGGAUCUGCUCGCCAGGCAGGUAGUGUAGAUAGCGUGGAUCUGCUGGCCAGGCAGUUAGUAUAGACAGGGUGGAUCUGCUGAGCAGGCAGGUAGUGUAGACAGGGUAGAUCUGCUGGAUAGGCAGGUAGUAUAGACAGGGUGGAUCUGCUGGACAGGCAGGUAGUGUAGAUAGGGUGGACAUGCUGGACAGGCAGCUAGUGUAGACAGGGUGGAUCUGCUGGACAAGCAGGUAGUGUAGACAUGGCGCAUCUUCUGGGCAGGCAGGUAGUGUAGACAGGGUGGAUCUGCUGGCCAGUCAGGUAGUAUAGACAGGGUGGAUCUGCUGGCCAGGCAGGUAGUAUAGACAGGGUGGAUCUGCUGGCCAGGGAGGUAGUAUAGACAGGGUGGGUCUACUGGACAGGGAGGUAGUAUAGACAGCGUGGAUCUGCUAGCCAGGCAGGUAGUGUAGAUAGCGUGCAUUACUGGCAAGGAAGGUAGUGUAGACAGGGUGGAUCUUCUGGCCAGGCAGGUAGUGUAGACAGGGUGGAUCUACUCGGCAGGGAGGUAGUGUAGACAGGGUGGACCUGCUGGAUGGGCAGGUAGUAUAGACAGGGUGGAUCUGCUAGACAGGCAGGUAGUAUAGACAGGGUGGAUCUGCUGGAUAGGCAGGUAGUGUAGACAGGGUGGAUCUGCUGGACAGCCAGGUAGUGUAGACAGAGUGGAUUUGCUGGACAGGCAGGUAGUGUAGACAGGGUGGACCUGCUGGACAAGCAGGUAGAGUAGACAGGGUGGAUCUGCUCGCUAGGUAGGUAGUGAAGACAGGGUGGAUCUGCUGGGCAGGUAGGUAGUGUAGACAGGGUAGAUAUGCUGGAUAGGCAGGUAGUAUAGACAGGGUGGAUCUUCUGGAGAGGCAGGUAGUGUAGACAGGGUGGACCUGCUGGACAAGCAUGUAGUGUAGACAGGGUGGAUCUGGUAAGUCAGGUAGUGUAGAUAGCGUGGAUCUGCUGGCCAGGCAGGUAGAGUAGAGAGGGUCAAUCUGCCGGACAGGAAGGUAGUAAAGAGAGGGUGGAUCAGUUGGAUAGGCAGGUAGUGGAGAUAGCAUGGAUCUACUGGCCAGGCAGGUAGUGUAGACAGCUUGGAUCUGCUGGCAGGCACGUAGUGUAGACAGGGUGGACCUGCUGGACAAGCAGUUAGUGUAGACUGGGUGAAUCUGCUGGCCAGGGAGGUAGUGUAGAUACCGUGGAUCUACUGGCCAGGCAGGUAGUGUAGACAGUGUGGAUCUUCUGGGCAAGCAGGUAGUGUAGACAGCGUGGACCUGCUGGAUAGGCAGGUAGUAUAGACAGGGUGGAUUGGCUCGAAAGGCAGGUAGUAUAGACAGGGUGGCUCUGCUGGACAGGAAGGGAAUGUAGAUAGCGUGGAUCUACUGGCCAGGCAAGUAGUAUAGACAGGGUGGAUCUGCUCGACAGAGGGAGGUGUCACACCCCAGGUGGGGCUGAGUGGGACGGCAUGAGACUUCAUCAAGCUACUCAGA